UCAAAAAUUAAUUUCAAAGUGAACUAUUCCUUUAAUGUCGGUAAUUUAAUGCAUUCAGUAAUCUGAAGUAACCAAUGCUAUUAUAAUACAUUAAUUAAGUGUAUUUAUCUUAUUCAUAUGAGCUCAUAAAAACACAACCGUUUAUAAGUUUAUAGUAACUCUUAAAAAACACAACCUCAUUGAAAAUGGGUAGCACUUUAUAAGUUUCCAUUUAUUAAUAUUGUUUUUUAACCAAAUUAAUGAAAAUGAACCAACCACUUAUUUUUUUACUAACAUUAAGUUUUACUAACUUUUUUUUUGUUGUUUAAAUAAUUUGUUGGUUAGUUAGUAAAGUGAGUAAGGGAUGUAGGCUACAUCCAGCCGUCUAUUAUCGCAAAAAAAACACUGAGAAGGGUGAAUGACCCAGAUGUGAAGUAGCCAUAUAGUAGCAGCUAUUCACUAGUGUGAAUUGAGUUGUUUUAGUUACAAAAAACAGCAAUAUCCUUUCAUUGACAUAGUGCUUAAAACUAUUCUUUUGGAAUGUGUGGUUAACGAUUUACAUUCAAGCUAGGUAAAUUUGCCUUUACAUAUGAUAAUCACAGGUGAUUGCAGUUUAGUAACUUCCUGCAUGUUUUUAUCUCGCUAGACCAGGUGUUAAUAGACUACAUUAAAUGCUUCAAUUCACUAGCAGAUAUAGCAGUGAAACAAUCAGAGGCAGAAUUAAGACAGAAAAUCAUAUUGUUGUUGUAAAUAAGCUAUUCAUCUAAGCGGAUUCAUUCAUCAACUAUUUGUAAAUAACCUGUUCAGUUGUAACAAGUGUAUCGACUGUUUUUGCUUCGGCACUUAUUAUAUUGUCUGCUCUACUCUUCGCAAAAGCUGGAAAAACAUUUUGGCCACAACUUAGGGACGUGAAAAGGGCUGUCACUCAUUUACUUCACCUUACUUUAUAGUUAAUUCAACGUUUACAUACUGGUGGUUGAUGUAAAACGUUAAAAAAGUUAAAGUAAAUAGGAUUUUUAAAAGUAAAAUACUUUUGUUUAGGUUCAUUAUGUAAAAAACAGGAAUUUUACUUUUUAAAUGGUUAGUUCUGUGGAUAUCUUAAUAAUAUGGUAUCUGUUUCUCUAUGGCAUUUUAUUUAAAAAUCUUUAAUCCCAAUCAGAGCAUUUGAGCAAAGAUUGCAUUGCGCUCGACCCAAUCCAAGCAAACGUUCCACUUGUGUGCCGCUCACACUCACAUCUGAUCAAAUCCCGCUCCUACAGGUUGUUUCUCUGUGCUAGAUAUAUCGUUCUCUUUGUCAUAAACUUCUUGAUCAAAUGUCUUAAUUGCAGUUGGCUUAUGGAUAACAGUUAAGAUAUUUGUGGAUUUAACAUCCUUAGCUCUUUAACCUAAAAAAUGUAUUAAUCUUUGUGAGGAGCGCAUGUAAGCAACCGGUAAUUAUGAAUAUUUUUUAACUGGAAGUUAUUACAAGCACUCACUUACGGUUUCUUAUUUUGGGACAAAAAAACAACAACACAAAAAUAACAUAAACAUGCACUUCCAUUCAUCAUCUGAGCCACACCAAAUAAAAACAAACAUACAUUAAAAAAUACACUGUGGAUAUUUUGAAAACAUCUUAAAAAAUUGAAUUAGGGACUGACUGGACAUGUAAGGGGUGCAAUUGUUAGAAAUUAUUUUUGACAGAAUCAAAAUGGUUUCAGUAAUGGUUUUAGCUUUGUUGUGUUCCUAGAUCCAUUUACCACAUCCAUGUUUUAGACAUUCCAAAUAUGUAUUAUCAAGUAUUAUCAAUUGUAUAAGUUUUUGUAUUUGAGCUAACAUAUCUGUUUAAUACUAACAGUCUGAGUAAGUAACAUUAAGCUCUCAAGUGUCUGCUUACUAAAGCAAGAUUUAUGACAUACUCAUCAUAUUUCAUUUAUUCCCCACCUGCUAAAACAAGGGCUGUCUUAGAAAAUGUUAAUGUGUUUAAGUAUAAACAUUGAUAUAUAAACGUGUAAAAAUACAUGUGGUGUGAUUUGACUGUAUUGUAAACAGCUCUGCUAAAUUACAGAGCUGAUUGAAACAUAUCCCAAUGGCUGUGAUCGGACGCUUUCUCACUGUGUUUUCAGUCCCUGAGUGGACUGAGCUGCAACCCCCACUACCUGCAGGACAUUAGCAUCUCUAUGGAGAACGGCUUCAAAGGCCAGGCUGUGAAAGUUUACCUUAGACCUAAAAAUACACAUGCUUAAACAAGUCAUCCUAUACUUAAAACACUCUGAGGACUCUGCAUGUAUUUUUUUAGAGAUUCAACAAGAGGAACUAUUAAUAUGAGCUUUCGUUUCAGAUGUGGUAUAAAGGUUUAGUUAAACCAACAAAAAUAUGAAUGCCCAUGGUAAUCUGCUACAUCCCUAUAACAUCAUUUGAUUUAUAAAUGAGCAGAUUUUUUAUUUAUUUAUUUUUUUACAUUGUGGUAAAUUACUUUUUUCUGUCUUUUAAAAUAUUUUAAAUAGUAAAUUAAUUGUAUAUCGCCUACUUUCUUUAAAUGCUGCACCAUCCCAUAGUUUGAUAUUAUUUUUGAACUUUUCCUUUAUUAACUUUAUCAUGUUUUAUCUGCCAUUGAUAUAGGUUUGUGUUCUGUGCUCUAUUUAAAAUGCAUGCAAAAUAAUACUAAUUAUGAAAAGUACUUUUUCCUGAUCCAGUUGAUGUUUACAACUGGAUUUAAAACUAAUUUACCAACAGAUUCUACCCUUAUGUUAAUCUAGCUAUUUGAUUUCAAUCACAAAACAUUUGCAUAACAGAACCAAUAGUAAUGUUGGCUAACUGUGGUUUAUCCGAUGGCCCAAUCACUGCUCCGAUAGCAGAACGUAUAUCUCUCUAUUCCAGGUUCCUAAUUCACACUUCAUGUUUGGCAUUUGGAAGAGCACAACUUUAGAAGACUUCAACGAGAUUGUUUCCUACAUUGGAGAGUUAUCUUUCUAUUAUAGUUUAAAGAUUUAUCUACCUACAAGAUCCCAAGAUCCUAAGCGCACUGAGCCAUUUCUCAUCUCACUUUUUUUCUUUCCGAAGUAAAAGGUAAGUUGUACAUUCUAACUUCAUUUUAUGAUGAUUUGUAAAUGCUAACAUUAUACAAUGUUUUUGCAUCCUCUUACAAUGUAAAUGUGCAUGCAGAUUGGUAUUAUUGAUAUUCAGUUUCUUUUUAAAAUGAUUUUAUAAAAAUACUUGAUAUAAAAAGUAUAGUAAAAAUGUAGUAAAUUAUCAGCCACAUUGUCAUCUUUUCAAUAAGUUAUUGUCUACACAAUUCUAAGGAGUUUUUUUUUAGAGUAUUUUCUAUUUUUUUUUUUUUUUUUUUACUUAGCAUAUGCACUAUAUCCUGCAUAAAAUGUUCUUAUAUUUCACAGGAAAAUGAGACCCAAAAGAGUUUCUCCUGAAAAGGAAGCCUUGUACUUCAUUGCUUCGGGGAAAGAUAAAGACACAUUCGAGAAAAAAUUAAUGUGUGAAGAGAAAGGUAAGUUACGGCAUUCAAUUCUGCCAUCAGUAUGACUUUGCAAAACUUAAUUAAAAGCUAAGUUUGGUCUCUAAAUAAUGUCGAAUGGUUGGGUUUAAAAUGUGUAGCUAAAAACAACAGGCUGUUAAAAAAAAACACAAGAGAAACAAAAAAACAUGAUUGAAUCAGUUAAAGGUGGAUUUAUAUCUGUUUUCCUGCCUGUAUUUAUGCUAGCUGCUGAUGUCCAAAUUAAACUCCAUUGUGUAGAUGUGCGAGUGAUCUUGAUAUUAUUUGUAUGUAACUGCCAGUUAGACUCCGGGGGCCUGUUUAACAAUGGAAAUUAUCAAUAUUCAGUGUCAUGAUACAUAUGAGUUUUGUAGUUUUGCACUUUUAGAUGUAGAUAUCGUAUUUGUUUUCCAAGCAGGGCUACCAUUUAAAACAGUUUAGACAACCUUAACAACUUUAUGAAUCUUUUCUCAUACUUAAUUUACACUUAUUUAUACCCAAUUUAUUAGGUUUUGGAGUAAUCGCCACAAAACAUAUUGAGCCAGGAGAAUUCCUACUGGAGUAUGUUGGAAGACACAUGGCUGGAUCUGAAGGAGAGACCCUGCUCAAAGACUACUCAGCUGAAGAUGCAGUUUUUUUUAUAUUUCUACUCCUUUCAGGGACAAUCUUACUGUGUUGAUGGCAGUAAAGCUACAGAAAAUCUCGGACGAUACAUAAAUGAUGACCACAUCAAGCCAAACAGCAAAAUUAAAAUAAUAAUGGAUGAAAAGAAAAUGCCACAUUUGUGUGUAUUUGCGUUAACAAAAAUCAAGCCAAUCAUACCAAAGAAAAAAUCAUACCAAAGCCUAUGGACUAGUAUGCAGGAGUGAUCCAGCUCUCAGAUUUCAUAAAAAAUAUCUUAAUUUGUGUUCGGAAGA